AUGUGUUUUCUUAGGACCACUCUAAUUUUUGCACUACGAUGUGGGUUCGCAGCAGGGCAGAGCAGUCAUAUAGUCAUCGGUGUCAUAGGUGUUCAUCGGCGUCAGGUUACGGUGACCAUUGGCAUGCUUCUUGAUGCACUACGAUGUGGGUUCGCAGCAGGGCAGAGCAGUCAUAUAGUCAUCGGUGUCAUAGGUGUUCAUCGGCGUCAGGUUACGGUGACCAUUGGCAUGCUUCUUGAUGCGGUCUGCAUCUCCUCCCACCACGACGGUCGGCAACCAUGUCUUCACCGCCGGAGCCCCUCUCCACCUAUUUAG
rnacentral:rRNA from 1 species